UCAAGUACUCCCAUGUCAAUCUUAUAACACGGCAUUUCCAGAUUUCCCGAUUAAGUGGGAAAAAAAAUGGAUGACAAAAGCUAAUACCUAUCUUUGUAUAGAAUUAGAUGCUUAAACGUUCAGCGGGAAAAUAACAAUACUACUAAACUAAAAACAUAUGCGACGGCAAAAAGUAGAAUGCACAGGCCAUAUAACCGAAUUAAGAUGAAGGUGAUAUUUCUCUUUUCAAUUUUCCUUUUUGUCAGAGUAAACGGUAAGCUUUGAGGUUGCUGUUCUACAACUGUAUUUUCGAUCUUUUAUUGUCAGUGUCCUCGCCCUGUCACGAUACGUAUCAUGAAAAUCACAAGCAGAAAAGCAAACAUUAAAAGAUUGGCAGUUAAAAGCAAACCCUAUACAUAAUUACAUACUAAAAUGGCAGAUUCAGAACCAAAAGUCUACGAAAUAAAAUUCCAUUAAUAUAAUAUGCCAGAAAAAAAGUAAGAAUACCGUAUAUAGUGUUGAUAUUCUUAUAGGAGUCUAUCUUUGUAGGAAUAUCCACUACUCAGUACGAUCUGUUGCAUAACCAAUGAUCGAAAAUAUCAUGAUACUCACACAAAGCAAAGACUCUCAAGAACGUUAAUUUUCUUUGAACUUAAAAAAACUAAAUGGAACUAGGGGAGUAAUAUAUAUGUGCAUCUGAUCAAUAAAAUAAAAUGACGAUCACAUAAAGGAAGUAAGAGAGUAUUGUUAAGUAAAUUAAUUAAGAAAAGAAACCCAAAACAGUAUUGCCUGGCUCCGUUCUGUCUGCCUCUUUCUUUAGCUUGGGAGGUUGCAGAGGCCUUAUAACAACAAAGAGCCCCCUACUAGAACUGAUGAAGAACCCUUCUUGGACUUGUUGAUGAGUUUUCCCACCAACUUGAACGUCCUCGACCACCAGAAGAGAACUUUGCUAAACGUUUUAGUGGUAGUACUACCAGUUGUAAAUCCUUCUUUUUCUUGAACCAGUGCAACAAGUUGGCUUCUGGGAUUAGUAAUAAUAUUAGCAGUAAACAAGUAAAUGGAUGGGAAGCGAAAUUUUCAUCUUCUUCAACCAUCUUUGCAUAAUUAUUUAAAAUGCAACCACCAACCACCCUCCCUCUUCUUCUUCUUCUUCUUCUUCUACUGUUACACAAACCCCUCUUUUCUUAUUUCUGUUUGUGGCCAGCAGCGGGAUUUGAUAUACAUCACGCAAAAGGAUACAUAUGUGUUGCCUUGGAGAAAGAAGAGAAAGAAAUGGAGAGUUAAGAGUAGAGAGGGGAAUCUAUGGGAUGGUGAAAAUGAGAGUGGCUGAGAGCUGAAGGAGGGAGGGCAGAGACAAGGGCGGGUUCUUAAAAGAAGGGUCCCAGCCCCGGAAGAGGAAUAGACAUUUUGUCCAUGCGACUUGUUCUAUUUCACGCUUCUUG
rnacentral:lncRNA from 1 species